CAUAUUAAAGUUUGUUAUUGAAUUUUUCUAUUACAAUGAAGAGGUCUCAAGAUUGUUGAGUAAUAUGAGAG
rnacentral:tRNA from 1 species